CUUUAUGGCGGGCCGUGCGGGCAACCUUCGGGUUGGCCGGUUUCCUUUUGUCCCGGUACUGCUUCCCCGUACAAGCCCGCCUCCUUA
rnacentral:antisense_RNA from 1 species